GACGAACGCUGGCGGCGUGCUUAACACAUGCAAGUCGAACGGAAAGGCCCUGCUUUUGUGGGGUGCUCGAGUGGCGAACGGGUGAGUAACAAGUGAGUAACCUGCCCUUGACUUUGGGCUAUCUUCAGGAAACUGGGGCUAAUACCGGAUAGGAGCUCCUGCUGCAUGGUGGGGGUUGGAAAGUUUCGGCGGUUGGGGAUGGACUCGCGGCUUAUCAGCUUGUUGGUGGGGUAGUGGCUUACCAAGGCUUUGACGGGUAGUCGGCCUGGGAGGGUGACCGGGCUCAUUGUGACUGAGUUGCUGCCCAGACUCCUACGGGGGCCGACAGUGGAGAAUAGUGCACAUUGGGCGGAACCCUGAUUCUGCAUCGCCGCUUGCGGGAUGUUGGCCUUCGGGUUGUAACCGGCUUUCGCCGGUAACGAAGCGUGAGUGACGGUAAUGGGUAAAAAAGCACCGGCGAGCUACGUU
rnacentral:rRNA from 1 species